rnacentral:lncRNA from 1 species
UGAUUUAAGAUUUAGGAUUUGAUUUAGGGUUUGGUUGGGGUUUAUUUAGGUUUUAGGAUUUAGUUUAGGAUUUGAUUUAGGAUCUAAGAUUUGAUUAAGGAUCUAGGGUUUGAUUAGGGUUUAGUAUUUGGAUGAGGGUUUGGUUAGGGUUUGAUUUAGGGUCUAGGAUUUGGAUUAGGAUUUGGUUUAAGAUUUAGGAUUUAUAUUAGGGUUUGAUUAGGAUUUGAUUUAAGAUUUGGCUAGGAUUUAGUUUAGGAUUUGGUUGGGAUUUAGUUUAAGGUUUGUUUAGGAUUUGAUUUAGGGUUUAGGAUUUUAUUUGGAUUUAAGAUUAAAUUAGUUUUGGCCUAAAGUUUGAAUGAAGUUCAAUAGAAUUUUAACUAGAAUUAAAUUAAGAUUGAAUUGAGAUGUAUUUGAAUGAUAUUUGUGAUCCUUCUAAUAUUUCUUUAAAAAUUCUUAUUAUUUGUUUGAAAUUUCUUUGAGGUUUUUUUUAAAUUUUAUUAAGCUUGCUUAGCAUUAUUAUAGUCUAAUUAGAAUAUUGUUAGUAUUCUAUUAGAAUUCGGAUUUUGUUAUUAUAAUUUCCAUUCUUCCUUCCACAGUCAGGUACCUGAAGCAUUCUCAAGU